rnacentral:rRNA from 1 species
GACGAACGCUGGCGGCGUGCCUAAUACAUGCAAGUAGAACGCAGUUGCGAACGGGGGAGUAAAGCGUGGGUAACUGCCUGGUAGCGGGGGGUAACUAUUGGAAACGAUAGCUAAUACCGCAUACUACCAGAUGGACCUGCGUUGUAUUUGCUAGUUGGUGGGGUAACCGCGCACCAAGGCAACGAUACAUAGCCGACCUGGGAGGGUGAUCGGGCACACUGGGACUGGUGACCCGGCCAGAAUCCUACCGGAGGCCGCCAGAGGGAAUCUGUGGCAAUGGGGGGAACCCUUACCGAGCAACGCCGCGUGAGUUAAGAAGGUUUUCGGAUCGUAAAGCUCUGUUGUUAAGGAAGCGGUACUUAACCAGAAAGGGACGGCUAACUACGUGCCAGCAGCCGCGGUAAUUC